GGCCAGGCUGAGCCUGCCAUGGGAGCUCAUAGCAAAAGCAUGCAAGAGCCCUGAUUUAUUGCCUUCAUCUCAGACCUAAAAUAAGCAGUAUGAAUUGACAAUUGUCCUUUGAAAAAGUCCCACCGAGAGCAGACUUUCAUUAUGAAGGCAGUACCCCUACAAAAGGAAGAUGGAGGGCAAGACUGAGACGUUUGCUUGCGGGCAUUCUGUUGGGCAGCCGAACCUGUCUCCCCUCGCUGGGGCAGCAGCGAUCUUCACUAUCAGUGCAAAUGAAAAUCAUAGGAGUAAAGAUGAAUUGCAGCCACAUUCUUUGAAGAAAUAUAAUUUGGAAUCUAUAAUCGUCACUGCCAUGCAGAAGGAACAGGUCCAAAACAGAACAGCGCUUCUGAGUGUGCCAUCUUCCUCCGGAUUACAAGGACUGGCUUUCCUUAUCUUCAAUAAGUCUUUAAAUGUCUAUUCCUGAAGCAGGACAGAGGAUAUUACUUGAAUGAUCUGGAGCAAAUCCAUAAUUUUUCUUGAAAGAGCGCACCCUGUGGGAAACUCAUUGAAUCCUCCUUGCAUCUGAGCGACAUUUCUUUUCAAUCAAGUGUGUUCCAAUAAAGGAGUUAGGUAUUGUUUGGGGACUUGAUUUUAUUCACAAGGAAUGAGACAGAAUACAAGCCAUUAUAUAGCAACAGAGUGGGUUGCUUCAUCAAACCCAGGAGAAUUGAGUUGGGCCUGUUCCUCAACUGUCCUAAGUCGCUGAAACUGACUCUGAGAUGGAGAUUUGCAUGCAGGAGGUUUGUUGAGGACAAAUCUUGGGAGCAAUGCCUGCUGGGGAGGGUUUAGAUGGGAUGAGCACCUGCAGCAAUUAAACAGCAAUGCAAUUGCUUCCGAGGCCUCAGCCCAUUCCACCAGAGCUCUCAACAGAGAAUGAUUCCACAGAGACAAGUCUUGAAUGGAGACUUUGCAGCCCUGCAUCCGCCUGUCCUUCAAGGCACGACGGCUCACACCUAUAAUUUUGACAUUUUCGGAGGCUGAGAUGUGUGGAUCACUUGAGGUCAGGCAUUUGAGACCAGCCUGGCCAACAUGACAAAACCCUGUCUCUACUAAAAAUACAAAAAUUAGCUGGGCAUGGUGGUGGGCACCUGUAAUCCCAGCUACUCGGGAGGCUGAGGCAGGAGAAUCACUUGAACCUGGGAGGCGGAAGUUGCAGUGCUCUGAGAUCGCGCCACUGCCC
rnacentral:lncRNA from 10 species